ACGCGGUAACCUUGACCGUGAUAAUGUAGCAUAAUCACUCGCCAUUUAAUUGAUGGAUAGUAUGAAUGGUUGAACGAAUAUUCCGCUGUCUUAAAAAGAAUUAAUAAAAAUUGAAAUAAUAGUUAAGAUGCUAUUUUAAACUGUAAGACGAAAAGACCCUAUAGAGCUUAACUAUAAACUUCUUAUUAACAAAAAGAAAAAUAAUUCUUAUCAUAAGAAGUUUGGUAGUUUAGUUGGGGCGACUAUCUUUUAAAAAUAACAAAGAUAAGCAAUGUUAAUAAUUAACUUAUUGUAUAACUUAAUAGUUUAACAAUUAUUAAAAUAGGCUAUAGUGACCCGUUUUUACUGAAUAAAAGGAAAAACGAUCAAUUGAUAAAAGCUACCUUAGGGAUAACAGGAUAAUUUUAUUUUAGAGUUCCUAUCGAAAAUAAAGUUUGUCACCUCUAUGUUGAAUUAAGAUAUCCUGAUAAUGCAGAAGUU
rnacentral:rRNA from 1 species